rnacentral:rRNA from 1 species
GGGUUGUGAGGUUAAGCGACUAAGCGUACACGGUGGAUGCCCUGGCAGUCAGAGGCGAUGAAGGGCGUGCUAAUCUGCGAUAAGCGCCGGUAAGGUGAUAUGAACCGUUAUAACCGGCGAUACCCGAAUGGGGAAACCCAGUGUGAUUCGUCACACUAUCAUUAACUGAAUCCAUAGGUUAAUGAGGCGAACCGGGGGAACUGAAACAUCUAAGUACCCCGAGGAAAAGAAAUCAACCGAGAUUCCCCCAGUAGCGGCGAGCGAACGGGGAGGAGCCCAGAGCCUGAAUCAGCAUGUGUGUUAGUGGAAGCGUCUGGAAAGGCGCGCGAUACAGGGUGACAGCCCCGUACACAAAAGCGCAUAUGCUGUGAGCUCGAUGAGUAGGGCGGGACACGUGGUAUCCUGUCUGAAUAUGGGGGGACCAUCCUCCAAGGCUAAAUACUCCUGACUGACCGAUAGUGAACCAGUACCGUGAGGGAAAGGCGAAAAGAACCCCGGCGAGGGGAGUGAAAAAGAACCUGAAACCGUGUACGUACAAGCAGU